GACAGAGGUGCCGAGCGUUAGGCGGAAUCACUGGGCUUAAAGCGUGUGUAGGCGGACUUGUAAGUACCUUGUGAAAUCCCACAGCUCAACUGUGGAACUGCUUGGUAUACUGCUUGUCUUGAGCCACUUAGGGGCAGUCGGAACAGACGGUGGAGCGGUGAAAUGCGUAGAUAUCGUAAGGAAGACCAGUGGCGAAGGCGAGUCUCUGGACAGUUACUGACGCUGAGGCACGAAGGCCAGGGGAGCAAACGGG
rnacentral:rRNA from 1 species